GUGUGCCACUUGCACACUCCGGAUCCUAUGCGCCAACCGCACGAACCUGACGACCGCGCGCGACGUUUUGUUAGCC
rnacentral:sRNA from 1 species